rnacentral:rRNA from 1 species
AAUACCGGAUACGACCGAUCUCCGCAUGGAGUGUUGGUGGAAAGCGUUAUGUAGUGGUUAUAGAUGGGCUCACGGCCUAUCAGCUUGUUGGUGAGGUAACGGCUCACCAAGGCGACGACGGGUAGCCGGCCUGAGAGGGUGACCGGCCACACUGGGGCUGAGACACGGCCCAGACUCCUACGGGAGGCAGCAGUGGGGAAUAUUGCACAAUGGGCGCAAGCCUGAUGCAGCGACGCCGCGUGAGGGAUGACGGCCUUCGGGUUGUAAACCUCUGUUAGCAGGGAAGAAGAGAAAUUGACGGUACCUGCAGAGAAAGCGCCGGCUAACUACGUGCCAGCAGCCGCGGUAAUACGUAGGGCGCGAGCGUUGUCCGGAAUUAUUGGGCGUAAAGAGCUUGUAGGCGGUUUGUCGCGUCUGCUGUGAAAGGCCGGGGCUUAACCCCGUGUAUUGCAGUGGGUACGGGCAGACUAGAGUGCAGUAGGGGAGACUGGAACUCCUGGUGUAGCGGUGGAAUGCGCAGAUAUCAGGAAGAACACCGAUGGCGAAGGCAGGUCUCUGGGCUGUAACUGACGCUGAGAAGCGAAAGCAUGGGGAGCGAACAGAAUUAGAUCCCCUGGUAGUCCAUGCCGUAAACGUUCCCACAAGGGGGGGGGACAUUCCACGUUUUCCGCGCCGUAGCUAACGCAUUAAGUGCCCCGCCUGGGGAGUACGGCCGCAAGGCUAAAACUCAAAGAAAUUGACGGGGGCCCGCACAAGCGGCGGAGCAUGCGGAUUAAUUCGAUGCAACGCGAAGAACCUUACCAAGGCUUGACAUAUACUGGACCGCAUCAGAGAUGGUGUUUCCCUUCGGGGCUGGUAUACAGGUGGUGCAUGGUUGUCGUCAGCUCGUGUCGUGAGAUGUUGGGUUAAGUCCCGCAACGAGCGCAACCCUCGUUCUAUGUUGCCAGCACGUUAUGGUGGGGACUCAUAGGAGACUGCCGGGGUCAACUCGGAGGAAGGUGGGGAUGACGUCAAAUCAUCAUGCCCCUUAUGUCUUGGGCUUCACGCAUGCUACAAUGGCCGGUACAGAGGGUUGCGAUACUGUGAGGUGGAGCUAAUCCCUAAAAGCCGGUCUCAGUUCGGAUUGGGGUCUGCAACUCGACCCCAUGAAGUCGGAGUCGCUAGUAAUCGCAGAUCAGCAACGCUGCGGUGAAUACGUUCCCGGGCCUUGUACUCACCGCCCGUCAAG